GCCCCUGUGGUGAAAUUGGUAGACGCGUCCGACUCAAAAUCGGAUGGAGCAAUCCGUGCUGGUUCGAGUCCGGCCAGGGGCA
rnacentral:tRNA from 1 species